ACAGUACAACACAAACAUACACUAUCUCUCCAAAACAACAUGACCAUUAAAAUAAGCAAAAGUACAUUCAAUUACGUCAUGAACAAAUCGCCCGACAGGUAAGGCAAAGCUGUAUGUAAUAAAUGCAUCGUUACAUAUGAGGAAGUUUGCCUGAUCAUGUCUAAGAUGUCAGAAUACAACACUUGUUUAAAAUAUCUAUGGAUUAAAUUUAACAAAUAAAGCAUUCUCAUGUUUGUCGAAUGGCGACGUUAACGUAGCGAUCGUCACUUUACGUCACGACACGGGCCGGUAACCAUGGAGAUACUUCAACAACAGGAUGGUUAAAUUUAGUCAGUUAUCAGAAUUUCGGAGAAGCUCAGGACAAGGCAAAGCUGUUGAAAUCGACAUAAAAUACGCUAUCUUUAGAACAAAUAAGUGUAUUUGGCGUUAAGACCCAUACAAGCGGCCUGCCUCGUCGUGGUAUGGUGUCACCUUCAAAGUCUGCCUGUUCCCAUCCUGACUUAAGUGUUUGGCUGUUAGCUGGGUACUCAGCCGGUGACAGGUCACCGUAGAGUGGUACGUCUUUUUUUUAACACCCUUUCCAUAACAUUUGAACAUUGUACAGUCCAUUUAAGUGGAUAGAGGUUGAAAAUGAUUUACAAAUAAUUGCGUUUUGUUUUUAUUUACAUUUAAUACAAAGUACUGACUUCAUUGGAAUUGGGUUUUUCUACAAUACCUGUUGCGAUAACUUCCACACACCGAAGAAAACUUCUCUGCAUUAAAAAUACUUUGCUGUCAUUACAUAGUGCUGACACUGAAAAAAAGAAAAGUAAUCAUUGUACAUAUCACAUUCUUCACUAGCUUUAGAUUUGGUCAACUAUCUAAACAUGUUCUCAUAGCUUUGCUGAUAUUAUGAACUGCGUAUAAAAAAAAAGACAAAUGAGCUAAUGGAACUAAUUGAAAAUAUGUACCUUUAGUAGUAUGUCAGUUUUUCUUCUUUUGUCCAGCUUAGACAAGAAUGACUUGAGGCGAAUACAUAGUUUUCCCAAGACUGCAUGCACAUCUGGACAACCCCCGCGGCCACCAACCUGGAGGUCAACACACCGCUUAUUGAGUGUUUGAUUUGAUAAAUUUAAUUGGCAGCGUAAAAAAAUAAAAAAGAUGUAUUGUGUGAGGUUUGGAGGCGAUAAUAAAAGUGCGAUGGACACCGUCUCAUUUCACUGUUUAUCAGAGCCAUUUAGAAUGAGAGUGAGAAGAUUG